UUUCCGUAGGUGAACCUGCGGAAGGAUCAUUAACAAGUCUGCUGCUCGUCCUUGUGCUGGCGUGGAAGGCCUCUUCUGUGCCGCGUGCAGGGAUGACAUUUGUUCCAUGUGCACGUUCACUCUGCACAUGACAUUCUACGAGUCAUCUGAUUGUCGACAAUGCAAACAAACAAAUAACUUUUAACAAUGGAUCUCUAGGCUCCUGCAUCGAUGAAGAACGCAGC
rnacentral:misc_RNA from 1 species